AUUGAACGCUGGCGGCAGGCCUAACACAUGCAAGUCGAGCGGAGCGGCGGACGGGAGAGUAAGGCCUAGGACUCUGCCUGGUAGUGGGGGAUAACGUCCGGACACGGGCGCUAAGACCGCAUACUAUUAGAUAAGCCUAGGUCGGAUGAGCUAGUUGGUGGGGUAACGGCCUACCAAGGCGACGAUCCGUAUCUGGUAUGAGAGGAUGAUCGGUCACACUGGAACUGAGACACGGUCCAGAUUCCUACGGGAGGCAGCAGUGGGGAAUAUUGGACAAUGUGCGAAAGCCUGAUCCAGCCAUGCCGCGUGUGUGAAGAAGGUCUUCGGAUUGUAAAGCACUUUAAGUUGGGAGGCGUUACCUACAGAAUAAGCACCGGCUAACUUCGUGCCAGCAGCCGCGGUAAUAC
rnacentral:rRNA from 1 species